CUCCAGGAGAAGUUCCCCAAUAUGAGCCGCCUGCAGGACAUCAGCGAGCUGCUGGCCACGUGAGGAGGGCAUAGGGCGGGAGGCCACCGUGGCCCGGGGACCCCAGAACAGGCCCGGGAGCCUGAACUCCCCCACUGAGCCCUGUAUGUCCUACACACAGGGGCGCGGGGCUGUCGGAGAGCGAGGCAGAGCCUGACGGCGACCACAACAUCACAGAGCUGCCUCAGGCUGUCGCCGGCCGUGGCAACAUGCGGGCCCAGCAGAGUGCAGUGCGGCUCACCGAGGUGAGGCCCAGGGCAGGGGACCCCUGGGGUCCGCCAGUGCCAACGAUGGGCUGACACUUCUCCCUCGUCCCCCUAGAUCGGCCCGCGGAUGACACUGCAGCUCAUCAAGGUCCAGGAGGGCGUCGGGGAGGGCAAAGUGAUGUUCCACAGUUUUGUGCGCAAGACGGAGGAGGAGCUACAGGCCAUCCUGGAAGCCAAGGAGAAGAAGCUGCGGCUGAAGGCGCAGAGGCAGGCCCAGCAGGCCCAGAAUGUGCAGCGCAAGCAGGAGCAGCGGGAGGCCCACAGGAAGAAGAGCCUGGAGGGCAUGAAGAAGGCACGGGUCAGGGGUGGUGAUGAAGAGGCCUCUGGGAUCCCUUCAAGGACGGCGAGCCUGGGGUUGGGUGAGGACGACGAUGAACAGGAAGAUGAUGACAUCGAG
rnacentral:sRNA from 1 species